rnacentral:rRNA from 1 species
UAGGGAAUCUUCCGCAAUGGACGAAAGUCUGACGGAGCAACGCCGCGUGAGUGAUGAAGGCCUUCGGGUCGUAAAGCUCUGUUGUUAGGGAAGAACAAGUACCGGAGUAACUGCYGGUACCUUGACGGUACCUUACCAGAAAGCCACGGCUAACUACAUGCCAGCAGCCGCGGUAAUU